rnacentral:rRNA from 1 species
AUUGAACGCUGGCGGCAUGCUUUACACAUGCAAGUCGAACGGUAACAGGGAGCUUGCUCCGCUGACGAGUGGCGAACGGGUGAGUAAUGCAUCGGAACGUGCCGUGUAGUGGGGGAUAACGUAGCGAAAGUUACGCUAAUACCGCAUACGCCCCGACGGGGGAAAGUGGGGACCGGCAAGGCCUCACGCUAUACGAGCGGCCGAUGUCGGAUUAGCUAGUUGGUAGGGUAAAGGCCUACCCAAAGGCGACGAUCCGUAGCGGGUCUGAGAGGAUGAUCCGCCACACUGGGACUGAGACACGGCCCAGACUCCUACGGGAGGCAGCAGUGGGGAAUUUUGGACAAUGGGCGCAAGCCUGAUCCAGCCAUGCCGCGUGAGUGAA